rnacentral:lncRNA from 1 species
AUUAUUAUUAGCUCCCUCGAGGUAAUCAUGCUCCGUGUUUCUAAAAUUGCAAAAGUCAAUCAUGAUCGGUCCAUUCAGCCUUCAACAUUGCAAAAGUCACACCCGCGAUUCUAAAGUUGGCAUGAAUUCUCUCCCGGCCAAUAAGUUUGGGGGAGAGAUUAAGCAGCAUUAAAGUUCCUCAAUCGGAGAUUAAGAGAAAUAAUGUAGGAACGAUAGUCGUGAGAGAUGUAGGCGAUCAGGUGGAGAAACCCAGGAGAAAAACAUAGAAUUGUACAAAAAUAGUGUUACAACGAAUCUCCUUCUCCCCGCCGUCGGCCGCCUUCUUCUCCAUCUGACUCUCCACUCUCUUCGCUCACUCACCAAACGAAUCUCCUCGUUCCCCCAGGCGAGAGAGAGAGAGAGAGAGAGAGAGAGAGAGAGUACNNNNNNNNNNNNNNNNNNNNAGAGAGAGAGAGAGAGAGAGAGAGAGAGACUUGGGGUUUUUGCUACAGUGGGGAGCCAUGGCGGCGUGAUGAAGCAACCAAGCUGGACUAGCCCCUCAGCGUCUGGAUGAUGGUGUUGUGCCAUGGGUCGGCCAGGUGCUGUGCCAGGUUCUCGAAGGGGCCCUUCCCCGUCACGUUGUGCUGGACAACAAAGCCUAAGAACGCCAGCAUCGCCAGUCUCCCUGCAACGAGUUGCCGAAAACAGAACAAACCCAAGUUCUUGAGAAAGCUCUAACAGGAGAGGGAGGAAGAGGGAGAGGGAGACGAAGCUCUCGAGGAUUAUCACCGUUAGCGAGCUCCUUCUCCUUGGCCUCGAGAGAGGGGGCGAAGUUGAGGGGGUUGAAGAUGCCACCGGGGUAGCCGACCUCGUUGGGGGGGAGGCUGUAGCUCUUGAAGAUGGGGUCCUGGUUGACGCUUCCUGGGUUCUUGAUGUCUUGCCAUCGCCGGAUCUCCACGUAGUGGAAGAGGAUGAACUCGAUCACAAAGAGCGUGGAAGAGGAGGCGAAGUACUCCUGCUUGCCGGCGUCGUA